rnacentral:rRNA from 1 species
UACGAAGGGGGCUAGCGUUGCUCGGAAUCACUGGGCGUAAAGGGCGCGUAGGCGGCCAUUCAAGUCGGAGGUGAAAGCCCAGGGCUCAACCCUGGAAUUGCCUUCGAUACUGUUUGGCUAGAGACCGGAAGAGGUAAGUGGAACUGCGAGUGUAGAGGUGAAAUUCGUAGAUAUUCGCAAGAACACCAGUGGCGAAGGCGGCUUACUGGUCCGGUUCUGACGCUGAGGUGCGAAAGCGUGGGGAGCAAACAGG